AUUGAACGCUGGCGGCAGGCCUAACACAUGCAAGUCGGGCGGAGCGGCGGACGGGUGAGUAAUGUAUGGGAAUCUGCCUGGUAGUGGGGGAUAACGUACGGAAACGGGCGCUAAUACCGCAUACUAUCAGAUGAGCCAAGGUGGGAUUAGCUAGGUGGGGGGGUAAAGGCCUACCAAGGCGACGAUCCGUAACUGGUCUGAGAGGAUGAUCAGUCACACUGGAACUGAGACAGGGUCCAGACUCCUACGGGAGGCAGCAGUGGUGAAUAUUGGGAAAUGGGGGAAAUCCUGAUCCAGCCAUGCCGCGUGUGUGAAGAAGGUCUUCGGAUUGUAAAGCACUUUAAGUAGGGAGGCGUUACCAACAGAAUAAGCACCGGCUAACUUCGUGCCAGCAGCCGCGGUAAUAC
rnacentral:rRNA from 1 species